GACGAACGCUGGCGGCGUGCUUAACACAUGCAAGUCGAACGGUAAGGCCCUUCGGGGUACACGAGUGGCGAACGGGUGAGUAACACGUGGGUGAUCUGCCCUGCACUUCGGGAUAAGCCUGGGAAACUGGGUCUAAUACCGGAUAGGACCAUGGACUUCACGGUUUGUGGUGGAAAGCUUUUGCGGUGUGGGAUGGGCCCGCGGCCUAUCAGCUUGUUGGUGGGGUAAUGGCCCUACCAAGGCGACGACGGGUAGCCGGCCUGAGAGGGUGUCCGGCCACACUGGGACUGAGAUACGGCCCAGACUCCUACGGGAGGCAGCAGUGGGGAAUAUUGCACAAUGGGCGCAAGCCUGAUGCAGCGACGCCGCGUGAGGGAUGACGGCCUCGGUUGU
rnacentral:rRNA from 1 species